GGUAGGUCUUUUCUUCUGCUGAGAUCUCCAUGCCUCCAUUAAUUUAUACAGCAUUUAAAAUACUGUGUAAAGAAUGGAUAAUCCAAUUGGGGGUCCAAUAUAUUACCAUUGUUCUUCUGUGCAAAGUAUCUUCCAUGGUAUCAUCGGGUUAUCCAGAUGUGAUAAGAAGCCAGUCUGCUUGCUGACAUAUUGUAAUUAUAAAUUUGCAACAUUUAAAUAAUGCUUGUCUAAUUCUCAAAUCCUCAUAAACUGAUUUACAUUUUCCCUGUAAACUUCUAGUUUUCCCUCCCCUUCCUCAGUCUUGGUGUCAAAUGUGAACAUAAUUAAUGUUUUUUUCUACUUCUGCUUCUAGAUAACUGCUGAAAAUGUUAAACAAACCAGAGCUCUGGCAGGACCCUGCUAGACGCUUCAUCCAAACAUAUCAUCUUACAACUCUGAUAAAAGGAUCUGCUGGAUUUUCUUUUGGCUGAGAUAAUACAUUUGUAUUCAUUGCAACUGAUGUUAAUUAUGGAUCUGCGUAACUGAUACAAACCUCAAUGACACCUUGAGUAAGUUUUGAGCAAUCACACCUUACUUUGUGUUGCAAUGGCCUGGAAGCAUUGUAUUGCUGUGACUCAGCAGAAGGCAGAGGACCUUUUUGCUCAGAAGUUCCCUCCAUGAAAGUCCUCAUUUCUUAUGGAAGGUCUCAUUAUCCCAGUGGAGAUGGUGUGCCCCAGCCAGCUGCAGGCAGAAGAGAGCAUGCAUGGAUGCUGUUUCUCAGAGAAAUCUGGUAGGAGAGGAUUUUCUGGAAAAUGCCUCCAAAAAGGUGGUAAUGUCCCACCGAGACAAACAAGAGCCCAUACAUUGGAGCGAGAUACAGGACAGAGAGACCCCAAAGUUCCACAUCUCCUCAGUCACGAAUGCUGUGUUGCCAGGGCAUGGGCUCUGCCCAUCCUGGUAGGCUCAGAGCUAUGGUGGGUUGUGAAAAUCAAGAGCAAACAGCGAGGAAAGACAAGUCUUGUCAGUCUGGAGAAUGAGUUGGUUGAACCACCAGGCCCCGGAUCUAUGGCAGCGGAAGCAACAUUGGAAUUGUGUCUUGCUGUGAGUUCAGCUUCUUUUCCAGACCCUUUUCCGUUCACAUGAAAGCCCUUCAGACUCAAUGGGGAUUUUGCUCUAACAAUAACAACAGACUUAUUCCCAAAGUCGCUGGCAUGGGAAUUUUAUUUAGUAACAGCUUUAUUCUUUGUGAGGUCUCCAAGGAAGGCAAUUGUUUUCUUCUGUCUGAUGUUGGAGAUGGAGAUCUAGGGACAGGUGGUGGAUUUCCUUCUCCUUCUGGUCUUGAUGGUUGAGGGAAAGAUCAAGGCCAUUAUUUUCCUUUCACUCUAGUGUCAGUGCAAAUGCAUCCAGAGCUUACUGAGUACACAGAAAUUAUUAGUUUUCAGUGUUUGUUCAAAUGGAUGCUAUUCAAAACAAUCUGCACCAGCAAAAGCAAAUAAUACCCAGUAUGGAUAUUCUGUAAAACCAAAGGAAAAAGAAUAAAUCCUCUAAUUCACAGAACA
rnacentral:lncRNA from 1 species